AAAAUUAUUUUAUAUUUCAAGUUUAUUAAAUAAAUGCAGUAUUAUUUAAAUCGAGUUAUUGUUUAAAUAUAAUACAUUCAAAUUUGAAGCGCCAAAUCAGUAGUUAAGUAUAUUGGCACCAUGAUCUUCACUUUAUAUAUAUGAAUAUUAUUGUAAACAAUGAUGCUUGGUCAUAGGAUAAGCAGAGAGGGACAACGACAAUUUAUAAAAAUAGAAAUUCGGCAUAGAGAAUGAAUUUUUAUCAUGAAGAAUUAGUGUCUGCAGAUAAUUUUUAGUCUAUGCUUGCAUAUAACCUACAAUUUUUAUUAUGAACAUUGUAAUAAAACCAACAUUUUAAUCUUUUGUUAAGAAAACCUACGAUGAUGAUACAUUAAAUAUAUGUCAUGAAGAUAAAAUUCUGAAUUGUACGAAAUGACAGAUAAACAAAAAAUACUUAGCUGUGGUGAUGUAGAAGGACAUUUUAAAUUUCUAUUUACGAAAGUGGAAAAUAUUAACAAAAAAAAUGGACCGUUUGACUUUUUAUUAUGUGUUGGAAAUUUCUUUGGUGAAAAUAAUAUAGAGCUUGAACCAUAUAAAAAUGGCAUGAGAAAUAUUUCUGUUCCAACAUAUAUUAUUGGCCCAAAUAGGGAGACAGAUUUAAAACAUUAUCCUGACAUAGAUGGAUAUGAAAUUUGUCAAAAUUUAACUUAUCUUGGUAGAAGAGGUUUAUAUAUUGCAACAUCAGGGUUAAAAAUUGCAUAUAUUAGUGGCAUUGAAAAUAAUGCAAGCGAAUCCAAAACAAUUGGUUUCCAAAAGAAUGAUGUUGUAUCAAUAAAGAAUUCUUGUUUGAAAGGUCAACCAAGCUUUCGAGGAGUAGAUAUAUUAUUAUCCUCACCAUGGCCUAAAGGCAUUACCGAUUUAGAUCCAAAUAAACCUAAUAUCAAAUAUCAAGGAUCUGAAUUAAUAGCUUGGUUGGCUGCUCAAAUAAAACCAAGAUAUCAUAUCUCAGCAUUAGAAAAUAUUCAUUAUGAAAGACCACCUUAUAGAAAUCAUAGUCAAGAUGAAAGUGGUAUUGAAAUUGCAACUAGAUUUAUUGCUCUUGGAUCGGUCGGAAACAAUGAAAAGAAGAAAUGGCUGUAUGCUUUGAAUUUGACUCCUAUAGACAGAAUAAGAUUAUCUGAAUUAGUUAUGAAAACAACUGAUGAAACAUCUAGUCCUUAUUUAAAGCACCUAUUACAUGAUGAACCGAUAGAAACAAAAACUACACAAUUUUUUUAUGAUAUGGAAUUUAAAUCUCAGAAACGUUCGAAAAAUUCAGAUUAUUCUUAUAAGAAGCUUAAGACAGAAUUUGACCAAACAAAAUGUUGGUUUUGUUUAUCUAGUCCUGAAGUAUCUAAGCACUUAGUAAUUGCCGUCGGUGCAGAAGUUUAUGUAGCGCUUGCUAGAGGUGGAUUGGUUGAAGAUCAUAUGCUAAUUUCGCCGAUAACACAUCAUCAGAGUUUAUCAGUUUUACCACCAGAUAUUUUAAAAGAAAUGAAACAAUAUAAAGAAGCAAUAACAAACUAUUUUGCAAGUAAAAAUCGAGUACCAGUAUUUUUUGAGAGAAAUUAUAAAACAUCUCACUGUCAAUUACAAGCUGUUCCAAUUCACAAAAAUCAAGCAUCUAUAGUUAAAGAAAUGUUUGAGGAAAUAGCAGAAUGUAAUAAUUUCAAAAUCGAUGAACUUCCACAUCACACGGAUUUACAACAAAUUGCAAAACCCGGUGUUCUGUACUUUUACGUAGAGUUACCUGAUGGGCAAUCAUUGUACUAUAGAAUUAAGAAGGAUUUUCCAUUACACUUUGGUAGAGAAGUAUUGGCAUGUGAUAGAAUAUUAGAUGUUAAUCAUAGAUCAGAUUGGAGGGAUUGUCAAUUGGAUAAGGAUGAAGAAAGUGAAUUGGCCAAAAGAAUUAGAACACAUUUUAAACCAUAUGAUAUAGAUAAUUAAAUUUGAUAAUGGAGUUCAUACUCUGCUGGAGUUGCUAUUGGAUUAAGACCACACUGUUUCAUUUGUAUGGCAACAUCAAAUAAGUAAUCAUAACAUUCAGUCCUACAAACCCCAUAAAAAAGAUUAUUUAUAGAUAUCAUUAUAUACUUUGCAAAAAUACGUAUAUAAAGUAAACAUAACUUACAUUGUUUUAGCUUGUUGCCAAGUAUCACCCCAAACAUAAACACCAUGUCUACGUACUAAAACUGCACAAGUUUCUGGAUAUUCAAUGAUUGCUUUAUCUAAUUCUUCUCUUAAAUCUUCUUCAAAAGGUGUAUUCUCUAUUAUAGGUACCACUAACUCUUCGUCAUAACGAUAGGCUCUCCCUAGCUUUUGAUUUCUUAUACCUAUGAAGAAAUACAUUCAUUCAUUGCUAUAUGGAAAUGAUCUUGUAAGAGGCCAUAAUAAAGUAACCAUCAAAGCGACUUUAGAAUGAGUAUGAAUGACUGCACUAGCAUUUCUUCUAAGAUAUGCACACAUAAAUAGUGGAGUACAUUGUGAUUUUUUCAACUUUUUCUCAGCUGGAGGUAGUUCUAAAUCUUUUCCAUUUAUAUCUUGAACAAAUAUAUCAUCUGGAUUUAUUCGUUCUUUCUGUACACCUGAUGGAGCUAUAUAGAUUUUGUCUCUGAAAUAAUGGUAAAAUUUUUAUUUUAUUUUUAUACUUUUAUUUUAUAGUUAAUAAAUAUUAUAGAUUUACAAACUCAUGCUUGAUGGAUAUACCCCCACCGGUACCAGUAACCCAUCCUAGAUGAUAAAAUUGCUGACAUAAUUCAGGUAUCAAAUUUCGAGGAUGCUCCUAUAAUAUCGAAUUUGAUAAAAAUAUUAUGAUAUAAUAUUCUAAAUAUACAUAUAUACAUUUUUUAAGUAUGUAUUAAUACUGAAAGAAUAUACAGGAAUAAUGUAAUAUACCUUUGACAACUUUUUAUCAUUGGAAGACAUGUUAUAAGCUUAUAAUAUUAUAGCAAUGGAUCUGAAAAUCAUACGAAAUUCUUAUCAAUUACUACGGUAAUGAAUGAAAAAAAUUUGAACGAUUCUGAAACGAUUAUUAUACGCAGGCUGUUUAAACAGACUUUUAAAAGAAUAUAUUUUAUUCUUAUAUGCUCAUUAACCAAUAAUCUGAUGAUCCUUGUCAAAGCAUAUAAAUAUAUGCCAAUAAAGAAAAAUAUAAUUAUAA